rnacentral:rRNA from 1 species
GAUGAACGCUGGCGGCGUGCCUAAUACAUGCAAGUCGAGCGAACAGACGAGGAGCUUGCUCCUCUGACGUUAGCGGCGGACGGGUGAGUAACACGUGGAUAACCUACCUAUAAGACUGGGAUAACUUCGGGAAACCGGAGCUAAUACCGGAUAAUAUAUUGAACCGCAUGGUUCAAUAGUGAAAGACGGUUUUGCUGUCACUUAUAGAUGGAUCCGCGCCGCAUUAGCUAGUUGGUAAGGUAACGGCUUACCAAGGCAACGAUGCGUAGCCGACCUGAGAGGGUGAUCGGCCACACUGGAACUGAGACACGGUCCAGACUCCUACGGGAGGCAGCAGUAGGGAAUCUUCCGCAAUGGGCGAAAGCCUGACGGAGCAACGCCGCGUGAGUGAUGAGGGUCUUCGGAUCGUAAAACUCUGUUAUUAGGGAAGAACAGAUGUGUAAGUAACUAUGCACGUCUUGACGGUACCUAAUCAGAAAGCCACGGCUAACUACGUG